GAAGGCAGAGGCUGCCACAUCCUACUUAUGUCUUUAAAGGACAGGGCAGACGUGAACACCUCCAGCCUGUCCCACCAGAGCCCUGAUGCAGAAGGGAGACCCAAGCCAGCCCAUACAGGCACAGUCAACACAAAGAGAGCCAAGGUGGAAGUUGGUGCAGAGCUCAGCUGGCAGGCAGAGGAGAGCCAGGUUCAAAAGUUUUGAGGGGAUCAUGAGCCACUUGGGAGGCUGAGCAGGAGAGCACUGAACCCUGCAGGUGGAGGAUGGGUCCUACUUCUGAGAUUCCUACAGAACAGGCUCGUAAAAGCUGCUUUUGACGGAACAACACUGACUCUGUCCUUGGGUCCACCUUUAACUAAAAGCUGGCUGAGAGCGCACCUCUUCCUUCCUCUUGUAUCUGUCUCCUUUACUUUGGCCCCAUCCAGUGCUGAAAGCAGAAACAGUGACUGAGGCACUUCUGUUGGUGUUUUCAAAACAAACCCAAAAGGCGCCAGAGGUCUCUAGCCAUUGUCUUUAGUAACCUUGAAUUCCAGCAACACUUCAAGAACAUCACCCAGUGAUGGGAUCAGCCCUGGGAAGGAAUGAGGUCUUCUGAGGUUCAGAUCACUCCCCUCAAGCACAAAGACUGCCAGUCCUGUCCUGUCACCAAAGCAGAGACAGAAGCCCACAAGGAUGCACGUGUGUGUAACCACAACUCCACUUCUCCCAUGCAUGGACACCUAGGCCAUCUGUCCUAUAAUAAGCCCUCAGUAGGGGCUGGAGAGAUGGCUCAGGGGUUAAGAGCACUGACUGCUCUCCAAGAGGUCCUGAGUUCAAUUCCCAGCAACCACAUGGUGGCUCACAACCAUCUGUAAUGGGCAUCCCAUGCCCUCUUCUGCUGUGUCUGAAGAUAGCAACAGUGUACCCACAUCCAUGAAACAAAUAAAUAAAUCUUUAAAAAAAA
ensembl:lncRNA